rnacentral:lncRNA from 1 species
UCAGCCUCUUGAAGCAGCCCGAUUCUGGCUCCAGCUCAAACCCUAACUUAGAGCUUGAUGAGAGCGACAUUAAGGGAGAGGUUGGCGAAGCCAAUGCUCUGCGCGAUAACCUCGAUUGUCUCCUUUGGAAUGAUGCUCAUCUCCCUUUCACCUCUUCUCUCCUUCCUCGCAUCCCAAGCUCUUUUGCUCCAGUGCCCUUUGAAUAGGCUUCCCUCCCGCAGUGGCAAAGUAUAGAAAA